AGUGAACGCUGGCGGUAGGCCUAACACAUGCAAGUCGAACGGCAGCACAGUAAGAGCUUGCUCUUACGGGUGGCGAGUGGCGGACGGGUGAGGAAUACAUCGGAAUCUACUUUUUCGUGGGGGAUAACGUAGGGAAACUUACGCUAAUACCGCAUACGACCUACGGGUGAAAGCAGGGGAUCUUCGGACCUUGCGCGAUUGAAUGAGCCGAUGUCGGAUUAGCUAGUUGGCGGGGUAAAGGCCCACCAAGGCGACGAUGCGUAGCUGGUCUGAGAGGAUGAUCAGCCACACUGGAACUGAGACACGGUCCAGACUCCUACGGGAGGCAGCAGUGGGGAAUAUUGGACAAUGGGCGCAAGCCUGAUCCAGCCAUACCGCGUGGGUGAAGAAGGCCUUCGGGUUGUAAAGCCCUUUUGUUGGGAAAGAAAAGCAGCAGGUGAAUACCCCGCUGUUCUGACGGUACCCAAACAAUAAGCACCGGCUAACUUCGUG
rnacentral:rRNA from 1 species